GACGAACGCUGGCGGCGUGCCUAAUACAUGCAAGUCGAACGCACAGUUUAUACCGUAGCUUGCUACACCAUAGACUGUGAGUUGCGAACGGGUGAGUAACGCGUAGGUAACCUGCCUGGUAGCGGGGGAUAACUAUUGGAAACGAUAGCUAAUACCGCAUAAUAUUGAUUAUUGCAUGAUAAUUGAUUGAAAGAUGCUAUUGCAUCACUACCAGAUGGACCUGCGUUGUAUUAGCUAGUAGGUGAGGUAACGGCUCACCUAGGCGACGAUACAUAGCCGACCUGGAGGGGUGGUCGGCCACACUGGGACUGAGACACGGCCCAGACUCCUACGGGAGGGAGCAGGAGGGAAUCUUCGGCAAUGGACGAAAGUCUGACCGAGCAACGCCGCGGGAGGGAAGAAGGGUUUCGGAUCGUAAAGCUCUGUUGUAAGAGAAGAACGGGUGUGAGAGUGGAAAGUUCACACUGUGACGGUAGCUUACCAGAAAGGGACGGCUAACUACGUG
rnacentral:rRNA from 1 species